rnacentral:miRNA from 1 species
UGGAUUGGUCAAGGGAAGCGU